rnacentral:rRNA from 1 species
AUUGAACGCUGGCGGCAUGCCUUACACAUGCAAGUCGAACGGUAACGGGCCUUCGGGUGCCGACGAGUGGCGAACGGGUGCGUAAUACAUCGGAACGUGCCCGAUCGUGGGGGAUAACGAGGCGAAAGCUUUGCUAAUACCUCAUACGAUCUACGGAUGAAAGCAGGGGACCGCAAGGCCUUGCGCGGACGGAGCGGCCGAUGGCAGAUUAGGUAGUUGGUGGGAUAAAAGCUUACCAAGCCGACGAUCUGUAGCUGGUCUGAGAGGAUGAUCAGCCACACUGGGACUGAGACACGGCCCAGACUCCUACGGGAGGCAGCAGUGGGGAAUUUUGGACAAUGGGCGCAAGCCUGAUCCAGCCAUGCCGCGUGCAGGAUGAAGGCCUUCGGGUUGUAAACUGCUUUUGUACGGAAAGAAAAGCCUUCUUUUAAUACAGGAGGGUCAUGACGGUACCGUAAGAAUAAGCACCGGCUAACUACGUG